GGUUCCAGCCAAAGCUUUUCAGGCAAGGAGGAGGAGGAGCUGUGGGGUUGGCAGAAGCCGUGAAAAAAACAGACUGGAGCUCGCAGUCUGCGGCCUUGCUUUGAAACCCACAGCUUCAGGGCGCCCGGGUGGCCCAGUCAGCCUCGGCCACCUGGGAAACAGGAAGGCUCAAAAAGAAACAAUGGCCAGCGGCCCAGGAUACGCAAGGACCAGUCAGGAGUGCCUCACCCAGGUUGGCCAACUUCUGAGGCGUGUCCAACUACUUCCAGUCUUGUGUCCGUUCCAGUAAGAUCCCGGCUCCCACAGUCCUCCUAUUGCCUUGUAGCAAGGAUGAGUAACACCCCCCACCCCCAUCCUAUGCAGACUGGGCAGAUUUUGCCAGAAAUGUAGACAUUUCCAGGGAAAAUCGGCUACUCUUGUUGCCUGUCCUCACAGUAAAUGAAGAGGUAGCUUAGCAGUUGCUGGAUGGGCAGGAGAUGCUCGGUUGCCCUCUCCUUCCAUGGACACUUCAGCUUGGGACUGAUGCCCUCCAACUCCACAACCCCCACAAUGCCACCUUGAUGCCUCCACUGACACUUGGCAGCUCCACUCCAGGACUCCUUGGUGACUCGUGUGGAGGAAAACCAUGGCCUUGCAGAGCCAGGGAGAGCCCACUGGAGUCCCGGUGAAGGCCUCUCAGUAACCAGAUAACCUUGAGCAAAUUUUGGAACCCUCUGAAUCUGGGCCCCCUCAUCUGUUGAAACGAUGAAAACCAAUCAGGCUAAAUCAAAUGAACAGCUUGGUUCUGAGAAUUGAA